rnacentral:rRNA from 1 species
UACGUAGGGGUCGAGCGUUGUCCGGAGUUACUGGGCGUAAAGCGCGCGCAGGCGGCGCGAUAAGACCGGCGUGAAAGCCCCCCGGCUCAACCGGGGGAGAGUCGUUGGUGACUGUCGCGCUUGAAGGCAGCAGGGGUGAGUGGAAUUCCCGGUGUAGUGGUGAAAUGCGUAGAGAUCGGGAGGAACACCAGUGGCGAAGGCGGCCAACUGGUCCGGUACUGACGCUGAGGUGCGAAAGGCGUGGGGGAGCAAACAGGG